rnacentral:rRNA from 1 species
AUGUCUUAUAUGCAUGAAUUAUGGUUUGAUCUCCACCUUUUCCGCAACUCGGUUCCAGCCUACUUCAUUUCGGAAGAAGCACCCUUCAACUGCAAAGGUUUCAGUUUUCUUGUCGCGGGUUUCUUCCUGGCAAUAUCAUUGCCAUUUGCUUGGAUGCUUGAUCCAGAAAGCAAAGACAAACUCAUUGCAGUUGCAGAUCAAGACCAGCUCUAUCAGGAAGCAGUUCAAGCACCACUGUUGGCACAACCAUGA